CCCUGUUUUCUGCAACAGGUAUUCUACCGGGACAUGCGUCCGGAGUAAUCCGGGGGUGUGAAGCUCUCGGGACAAGAGAAGCCCGCGGAGGAUGUAUUUCCUCCGGGAGAGGGAACCGUGAGGGGACCUCAACUCUGCAAGCAUCAUGCGGUAAGGGAG
rfam:Candidatus Magnetomorum sp. HK-1 HK1c2670, whole genome shotgun sequence.